GGAUUAUUCAACCCAUGGUGUAGAUGCGAACUCAACGGACAGUGCGGCUAAUUCUAAGGUGUGACACAUUACCUACCUGGCUGAGACUGCAGUUUACAGAGGGAUUAAGGAAACAAAGUGUGUGUGUGUGUGUGUGUGUGUCUACAUACACACAUACAUACACGGGUUUAUAACUGCCCCCCUACUUUUGUCCCUGGCCCAACAUGUGCCCCCAUCUAAAAAUGAAUCCUAACGAUGCCACUGAUCCCUGAAGGUUAGUUACUAAAGUGGGAAUUGUUGUGAAUGCGUAUAAGGUUAUUUAGCAAAGUGAGAAUCAUUAGGAAUUGUAAGUGAAUUCAAAGUAUAAUUCAUAUUUAGGGUCAGAGUAGCCUAAAUUUUUUUCGAGUUUUGCUGUUUUAGCGUUACAUUUGAAUUUCUCUUUGAUUUUCUGACAAUUCUAACUUUAGUUAAUAACCCUGUAAGUGAUGUUAAAAACAUAUGCCAAAAUAUUAAACUGAAAACAUAGAUGGCUUUUUCUCAUUUGUGACCUAAAAUUUCAAAUUAGCUUUGAAUUCUCACUAAUUCACAGCUGACUACACAAGAUUAUUUUCAGUUUGUGUAUUCACCAGAAAGUGUGAAUUCUUUGUUAGAUGGGACAUCAUUUUAAAUGUGCUGCCUAUCAAAUCCUUAUCAAUAUAAUAUGCCCAGGUGGAUCAGGCCAUUCUAGCCAUAAAAAUCCUUAUCAAUUUUAUAUGUCCAAUAUCAGACCAUUCUAGCCAUAAAAAAGAAAGACAAUGUAAUAUUUUAAUUAUGCAUUUUGUAGCGGUUUGCUUUGCACAGCAAAUACAUAGCAUGUGACUUUAAAAUCGCACCAUGUUAUUUUUUCCUGGCAGGUAUAUUUUCAAUGUGUGAUAAUUACAACUUUUGCAAAAUUGCAAGGUCAGUACACCAUUUAAAAACAAAUAACCUUUCUUUCAAGUUAGGUGACUGUGCAGCCCCUUUAAAUAUACAUACAUUAUAAAGAUGCACUCGGUGGGUAGCACUCAUUUUUAUACACCUACGAAAUAUGCAUUUUUCAGAAGUGCAAGAUAGAUUUUUCUAAAAUACCCUUAAUAAAAUGUUACAUAUAAAUAAUGAUCCUAAAGCAGAGCUGUCACCACCUGGGGACUUUGCAUUGUUUUCUAAGACCCCUGACUGUGCCAACGCUGCUGGGGGGCAGGAGGCAGCAGGCAAAGGUGGGCGUGGGCGCCGCUAUCUUCUCUCAGGGGGUUCUCUUCUCAUAUGCGCGUGAGUACAGAAUUAAAAAUCUAUGGAGGAUCCUGCGACAUACUGCAUAGACAGAGCCAAUUCCCUGCAGCUGUCAUUGAUGGCUGUGGGAUUUACACUUUUCCACGGGGAUAGCUCCACCCAGUGUCAAGAAGUGUCAGUCUCAUACUUUGUGUUAUGUUUUAAGUUAAAAAUGGAAGAAAACCGAGAAAAAGAAAGACAGAGUAGGAAAGUGGAAGUGAUUAGAAAAAGGUAUUACAAGUAGUAUAUUAUUGAUAGGAAUUGGAAAAUUGAAGGCUAAACUGAAGUGUAAAAAUAUUAACAUGUAGUCCUAUACUAUAGUGUUUUAGUAACUAUUUAAAUUCAGCCCGACCACCCCAGAAUGAAUAAAAAAAAAAAAAAAAAUUACCUUUAUUUCCCUUAGCGCAGGUCCCUACCUCCACAGCUGAGAGCAUUACUCCUUAUAUUCUCAGCCAAUCCAAUUCAUCACCAUAGGGAAACAUUGGGCGGUUAGUGCAUGCGCAGCAAAUGGUCCUGAUGAACCAAUCAGCAUCUCCUUAUAGAGAUGCAUUGAGUCAAUGCAACUCUAUAGGGAGCGUUCAGCAUCUCCAUGCAGAGCGUGGAGACGUUGAAUGUCGGUCGUGCAACCUUUUGCAAGUUCGUCUUGUGGAUGUGACAGCCACUAGAGGUGGACUUUGGAUGCAGUGUACACACUGACUUUUCUCUUAUAAGGCAACAUUUUUCUCGCUCAGCCUGCAGGGACAGUUUCUAUGACCCAGAACAAGUACAUUAAGUUGUGGUUGUUCUGGUGCCUACAGUGUCAAGUUUAGUGAAUCAAUUUUCCCUAAUGAAAAUCUGAAAAAAAAAAAAAAAUUAAAGCAAAAUAGCCAAGCAAUGACAAUAGGUGAGCUGCAAAAUAUUUACACAUUAGCUGUGUUGACCUCAAUAUUUCUGUUCAGAUUUGCUACAAUUCAGAGUUAAGUUAAUAUACCCUAUAGUAGACUAUUUUGUUUUUCUAUUCGAUGUCAAAUCUUUAAAGGUGCUCAUUUUUAGUGACAGUGGGAAGUAGCUUUUUUUUUUUUUAAUAGAUAGAUAUUUUUUUUUAGUAACUGUAGAGGGUGUGUUUUGUGAUCACCCCACACUGGUUUUGGAAUGUUAUCCUAUUAGGUUACAUUGCCAAUGUGUGACUGAUGCUAUAUAAAAUAUUUAUUUAACUGUUUACCGUAUUUGCUUGCUUGUAAUAAUUAUUGCAUCUUUAAUUUUUUUAUUAUUAUUAUUGACUACCCAACAUUCGGC